GAUGAACGCUGGCGGCGUGCCUAACACAUGCAAGUCGAACGGAGAGGUCGGAGCUUGCUCUGCUGGACGAGAGGGGCACGGGUGAGUAACACGUGUGCAUUCUCUCCCUGUCUCUGGGAUAAGACCUGGAAACGGCGGCGAAUAUAGGAUACGAGAUGCGGAGGCAUCUUCAGCAGCAGUGAAGAAUGUCGGGCAGGGAUGAGAUCGCGGCCUAUCGGCUUGUUGGGGAGGUGAUGGCUGACCCAGGCGUCGACGGGAAGCCCGCCUGAGAGGGUGAGCGGCCACCCUGGGUCUGAGGCACGGCCCAGACUCCGACGCGACGCAGCAGUGGGGAAGAUUGCACAAGGGGCGCAAGCCUGGUGCAGCAACGCCGCGUGUCGGACGACGGCCUUCGGGUUGUAAACCACUUUUGGCAGGAACGAAGCGAAAGUGACGGUACCUGAAGAAAAAGCGCCGGCUAACUACGCG
rnacentral:rRNA from 1 species